GACGGAGGGUGCUAGCGUUGUUCGGAAUCACUGGGCGUAAAGGGCGCGUAGGCGGCCGCCCGCGUCGGACGUGAAAGCCCGGGGCUCAACCCCGGAACGGCGUCCGAUACGGGGCGGCUCGAGGCCGGGAGAGGGGGGUGGAAUACCCAGUGUAGAGGUGAAAUUCGUAGAUAUUGGGUGGAACACCGGUGGCGAAAGCGGCCCCCUGGCCCGGUCCUGACGCUGAGGCGCGAAAGCAUGGGGAGCGAACAGG
rnacentral:rRNA from 1 species